CAGUUUACACGGAUAACUGUGGUAAUUCUAGAGCUAAUACGUGCAAUCAGCUCGCUUCCUUGUGGAGCGAGCGCAGUUAUUAGAACAAGACCAAUCCGGCCUUCGGGUCGGUACAAUUGGUGACUCUGAAUAACCGAAGCGGAGCGCAUGGUCUCGUACCGGCGCCAGAUCUUUCAAGUGUCUGACUUAUCAGCUUGUUGUUAGGUUAUGUUCCUAACAAGGCUUUUACGGGUAACGGGGUAUCAGGGUCCGAUACCGGAGAGGGAGCCUGAGAAACGGCUACCACAUCCAAGGAAGGCAGCAGGCGCGCAAAUUACCCACUCCCGGCACGGGGAGGUAGUGACGAAAAAUAACGAUGCGAGAGCUACAAAGUUUCUCGUAAUCGGAAUGGGUACACUUUAAAUCCUUUAACGAGGAUCUAUUGGAGGGCAAGUCUGGUGCCAGCAGCCGCGGUAAUUCCAGCUCCAAUAGCGUAUAUUAAAGUUGCUGCGGUUAAAAAGCUCGUAGUUGGAUCUGGGUAGCUGGACGGAUGGUGUGCCGAAAGGUAUUACUGUCUGUUCGGCACCACAAGCCGGUCAUGUCUUGCAUGCUCUUCACUGAGUGUGCUUGGCGGCCGGAACGUUUACUUUGAAAAAAUUAGAGUGCUCAAAGCAGGCGUACGGCCUUGCAUAAUGGUGCAUGGAAUAAUGGAAUAGGACCUCGGUUCUAUUUUGUUGGUUUUCGGAACUCGAGGUAAUGAUUAAUAGGAACAGACGGGGGCAUUCGUAUUGCGGCGUUAGAGGUGAAAUUCUUGGAUCGUCGCAAGACGAACUACUGCGAAAGCAUUUGUCAAGAAUGUCUUCAUUAAUCAAGAACGAAAGUUAGAGGUUCGAAGGCGAUCAGAUACCGCCCUAGUUCUAACCAUAAACGAUGCCAACCAGCGAUCCGUCGGUGUUUUUUUGAUGACUCGACGGGCAGCUUCCGGGAAACCAAAGUGCUUAGGUUCCGGGGGAAGUAUG
rnacentral:rRNA from 1 species